ACGGCUCAGUAACACGUAGCUAAUCUACCCUUAAGUCAAGGAUAACCUCGGGAAACUGAGGCUAAUACUUGAUAAAAAAUAAUUUCUGGAAUGAUUUAUUUUUCAAAUUCGAGCUUAAGGAGGAGGCUGCGGCUGAUUAGGUAGUUGUUGGUGUAAUGGACUAACAAGCCAAUGAUCAGUAAGGGCUCUUAGCGGAGAGGCCCUGAGAAGGAAUCUGAGACACUAUUCCUAGCCUUACGGGGUGCAGCAGUCGAGGAAAUUCUGCAAUGCUCGAAAGAGUGACAGAAUGAGUCAGAGUGUUUUCUUUUAGAAAACUUUUGUUAGUUGUAAAAAGACUAGCGAAUAAGGACUGGGCAAGACCGGUGCCAGCCGCCGCGGUAAUACCGGCGGUCCAAGUCGCAUCCACAUUUAUUUGGUCUAAAACAUUCGUAGCUUGUUUUGUAAGUCUCUUGUGAAAUCUGACAUCUUAAGUGUCAGGCGUGCAAGAGAUACUACAUUGCUUGAGACCGGAAGACGCAAAGAGUAUGAAGGAGGUAGUGGUAAAAUAUGUUAAUCUCCUUCAGACUAACAAUAGCGAAGGCACUUUGCGAGUACGGAUCUGACAGUGAGGAAUGAAGGCUAGGGGCGCAAAAGGGAUUAGAUACCCCUGUAGUCCUAGCAGUAAACACUGCUCACUAAACAUUAGUGCCUCCUCGAGAGGCAUUAGUGCUGUAGAGAAGUCGAAGAGUGAGCUACCUGGGAAGUAUAGUCGCAAGACCGAAACUUAAAGGAAUUGGCGGGGGAGCAC
rnacentral:rRNA from 1 species